AUCUACUUCCAAACUUCAAGCUGUAGGCAC
rnacentral:misc_RNA from 1 species